ACCUACGGCCAUAUCCAGCAAAAAAAUACCCGGUCCCGUCCGAUCCCGGAAGUCAAACUGCUGCGAGCGUGGUCAGUACUGCGAUGGGGGACCACGCGGGAAUACUACGUACCGUAGGCA
rfam:Sphaeroforma arctica JP610 cont1.13039, whole genome shotgun sequence.